CCUAAAUAUGAUAUAAAUCUUACAUUUUUAUUCAUCCAAAAAUUAUUAUUUUUUCACUAGUUAUAUCAAAAAAUUUUUUUUCAAAGUAAUAAAAACCGAAGAUGAUUUUGAAAAUCUAUAUCCAAACCCGAACCCGAGCCCAAAUCCGAAAAUCCGAACCCGAAACAAUUAUUUCUCUUUUCAAUAUUUCAAAAUAUAUUACAUUAAACCUAAUUUUUAACAUCAAAUUUGUAUAUACAUAUUAAAUAUAAAUAUAAAAUAAAUUCGGGUUUGGGUCGAGUACAGUCAAAACCUGUAUCCAUCGGGUUUUUGUUCUGAUAUCUACAUCUGAAACCAUAUUCGUUUAGCAUCGGGUAAAUCCAUUUCAUUCGCGUUCAGAUUCAGAUAAAAUUUCGUGUAUCCGUACCCAUCGACAUCCCUAAAUGGGGGGUCAUCAUUCAGCCAUGUCUGAAUGGCUUGUGGACCAUCCCAGCAAGGGAUAGAGAGGACUGAUGUUGCACCACACUGGAUUGGGCCACAAACUGGCCCCUUUUUUUUUUUUGUUAUUUUUAUAAUAUUUCAAUUUUUUUAUAUUUUUUUGGUCAAAUUUUUUAUAUUAGUUUUAUAAAGAUUAUAUAGUUAUUACUUAAUAAACAAGUUUUAGAUAAUUUUCUAAAAUUUUUAAAAGUAAAAUAACUUAAAUCUAUACCUAUACAUUAUUUUCCCUAAAGUCUUGCCACGUGGCGGUACCUCCUUUAUCUUUACCAUCUCCUCUCUUUUCUAAUCACAAUUGUUGCAACCGCAUAAAACCUUUGAUCUUUCAAUUAAUUAAUGAACAAUUUUAAACCUACACUCUUCAUCUCCCCACCAAGUUACGAUCUUAAACCCACACUCUUCAUCUCCCCAACAAGGAGUUACUAACUUUAAUAAUUACAAUGAUCCACACAAUUAGCACCACUAAAACCCCAUCAUCAUCAUUUCUUCAUUCUCCGAAACCAAAUACCACACUCCAACAAUGUCCUAUGUUACAAACCAACUCUUCUUUCUAUUAUUCUUAUUAUUAUUCUCGAACGCGAGUACGAACCCGUCAACGCGAUUCGGGUCGAGCCAUGAUUGUUCGGGCGCGUUGUUUGGGUUCAGCGAAUGCUUGGAGUUUGUGAAGGGCGGGGCGAACGGGGCCGAAUCGGGAUUGUUGCUCUGGGCUCGAUCACGUGCUGAGCCGGAGCGUCACGUGCCUCUGCGAGGCCAUACGAGAAAGGGCAAGGCUAGGCGUACCUGUGAACGUCAAUAGUCCCCUGUUACAAAAGUAAGAGGUGUAUUUUUUUUAUGGUCCAAUUUCAUAUAAACAAAUUGCUUUCAUAAGAAAAAAUAAGUAAAAUAAGAUUUCUUCGUACUCCUUUUUUUUCAUUUUUUUUGGCGCAUAAGAAUGGUUCAUAUUUUGUUAUUUUUUUAAUUUUUGUUAUCUUUUUGUUGUUAAAUUGUAUGUGUACUGAAAUUAGGGUUUCGUGGAUUGUAGCGCAGCAUCGCGGGGGAAAGCGAAGAUAGAUUUGGAGUCAAUGAGAGGAAAGAAGUGGUAGGUUUGGAGAGAUCUGUAGGGAAUCAACGUGGCUGUGACGAAAAAGGAGCUCGACGUUGAUAAUGGCGGCAAAGGUAAUGUGGAGAUGGGGAUUCGUCUCCCCGAUGUCGGUAGUGCGAUCAAAAUGCGUAUGGAGUAAUAAUUCUAUUGCUGCUUAUUUUAUUAUUAUUUUUUAUAAUUUAUUUACUGAAAUUAUAAAUUUUGUUAUAUUUGUACGUAUAUCUGUUUCAUCUUUUUUAUUUGUAUAUAUGUUAAUAUAUAUUAUCUUUAUUUAUUAAUGUCUUAUGAUAAUUCAAAAAAUUUAAAAUUUUUAUUUUGUGAAUCUUCUGUCUUCUAUAGCAUCAGCCCGCCGCAAUGCGCGAGUAACUUCACUAGUUAUACAUCAAUUAUCCAAACAAACUUCCAGGCCAUAAU
rnacentral:lncRNA from 1 species